rnacentral:rRNA from 1 species
UACAGAGGGUGCAAGCGUUUGUUCGGAAUUAUUGGGCGUAAAGCGCGUGUAGGCGGCUUGGCAAGUCGGGUGUGAAGGCCCUCAGCUCAACUGAGGAAGUGCGCCCGAAACUGCUGAGCUCGAGUACCGGAGAGGGUGGCGGAAUUCCCCAAGUAGAGGUGAAAUUCGUAGAGAUGGGGAGGAACACCGGUGGCGAAGGCGGCCACCUGGACGGUCACUGACGCUGAGACGCGAAAGCGUGGGUAGCAAACAGG